AUUCUCUCAACUGCGUGCUCUAGUGCCCACCGCCGCACGUCAGCGACUCCAGCUCCUUCGACCGCCGUAAGUUGAUGUGACUCGGCCCAAAUUGACGUCCGCUCUCCCAUUUCCUUUCUCUCAUUUUUAUCCUAAAUUUUACCCCCACAAUUUUUUUUUAAUUUUCUUCUUCCCUUCACCCUAAGACUCCAAAUACAAUUUUUCUUCUUCUCUUCCCUACACAAAUUUUUCUUUCUUUUCUUCUUCCCCACCAUCUAUCUCACUAUCAACUGUGCCCUAAUUUCCACCACCGAUCAUUUUGUCGCUCGUUCUACCACCUCAAGUUCCACAACAACACCACUAUCGAUAUACUAAAAUCAUUUCAUAAGUGUGUGAUCUUCCUAGCCUUAUUCUUGCUACCAAUAAUUUCCCUCACAAGAUCUUUUGAAUGUCAAGACCAUCGUUUCUGUAUUGGUAGAAUGAUUAGACACCAUCAUUUCAUGUUUCUCAAUUCACUAUGGCAUAUUGCUAUUUUUCAUUUACAAAAGAUUUACCAAUAACAUUUGUGCUGAACUUUAGCUACAGCUACUCGGGAUAUAGAGCUUCUUCUGGUAAGGUACUUGGGAUAUAGAGCUUCUUUUGGUAAGGAACCUACUGUCCCACCCCCAAGUUUUCAUUCUCCUCCUUGACACUUGCUAAUAUGCAGAUCUAUGCUCCAAGGAAUAUCUCCAUUCAUAAAUUUGAGAUCCACAUCUGUGAAUUGAAAGGUAGGUCUGAAUGAACAACUCUAGAAUUUGUUGUUAGAAUCGAUAGGUCUUCAAAUAGUUCAUCUUUGAAAAAUUGAAACCCUUCUUAUUGAAUGAUCAUGAUACUUCUCAAAAAUCGAAAUUCUUGAUCAAUGGAGGAACAAUUUUACCAUUUUGGUUUCAUAAGAUACCAAAGUGGAUGAUUGACUCACUCCAUACUAUUAAACAAUUGUAAAAACAAUACUUUCUCUUAUCUUUAUUGAUUGGGUGAGAAUGAUAUAUAUUUAUAAGAGAAAAUUAAAAUUGGCAGGUGGCUCUAACAAUAAAAGGAACUACUUUAUAACUUCUUUCUAACAUACUAAUUAAUAAUAACCUCUCUAAUUAUUUUCUAAUACUCUCCCUCAAGAUGGAAAAAAAGAUGUUUUUAACUCUCAUCUUGCUAAAAUACUCCCCCUUAAGAUGGAAAAGGGAUGUUGCGGGGAGAGGUUUGGUGAGUGUGACUGCUAUUUGAUUUGAAGAGUGGACGAACAGUAAUUUUAUGGAGCCAUCUAUGACUCUAUCUUGAACGAAAUGACAAUCGAGUUUAUUGUGCUUGGUUCUCUCAUGGGACAUGGGAUUUACUACAAGAAUUUUUGUCUCUGGCGACGUUGAGAAACGUAGGCAGAACAUUAAAAAAAUCUAACCACCACCUAUACCAUACCUCUGCCGUGAAGCCUUGUCGUCCGUCAUCGACUGCCGCUCCUUUGCAGACAAAGUCGCUGGCUACCACCCACUCCACCGUCUAUCAUCCAUUGAAGUCGUUACACAUCGCACGCGAAAUCCAAACUUCUCCAAGUCGAGAUCAUCUGUUUCCAAACCAUUUUCAUCAAGCCUCGUCGACCAUAGCAUGUCGUAAGCCGCAUAGCGUCCCCAUUGAUGAAACCUCUACCUUCGGUGCAGCUAGUUCGAGUUGUUUUCCCUUUCACAAAGUCACGUGUUUUAGAUCUGAGCCAAUCUGUCUCUAGUUCCCAAAUCGAUCCUUUCCUUCCCCAGUCACAUGAGCCAACCACCUUCCACACCAAGUUGUUUUUUAGUAGCGAGUUUUCUAGUCGAGUCGAGACCUUCACGCCCCUCUUUUUUAAGCCAUUUGAGCCAGUUGGUGUUUAUGGUGAGUUUUUAUUGGGAUUUAGGUAAACUCUUCAAAUAUUAAUUUUGGUCAUAAGUAAAUAGUGGUAGAUUUAGCAUAGGCCCAGGGGUGCUCGAGCCCCCCUCAAUUUUAUCGUCUUUAUAUAAUAUAUAUAAAAAACUAUUUAUUUUUUAAUAUUUAUAUGUAGCUAUUUUUGUAUGUAGCAUAGUGAUUACUUUGUUUGUCAACCUCUUUUCAAUCGAAGUUCAAUUCUUACCUAUGUAAUUUAUUUUUCAUUUUUCUCCAAAUUACAACCUUUCGAUUUCUACCCAAGAAAUAAAGCCCCUUAUUAAUAAAUUUUCUAGAUGGAUUAAUGUUGGAUUUUUCCUUUAAGGCUUAGUUGACAAAUUUUGGAAGCAUUAAUCUUGGAAUUUUUUUUCAAGAAGGUUGAAUUGGUUUAAACCCUAAUUUUUGGGUAAGUAAUUUGGGUAAAUUUUUGGACAAUAGCCAACUAUAGUUCUACCUAAUUAAAGUUACUGAAAUUUCCUUUAUGUUUAGGAUCAAGUUAAUUAAGAAAUCUUUCGCUAUUUGCUAUGAAAUAAUUAUUUAGCCAAUCUCUCAAAUAAGAGAUUUUACUACUAGACCUCAAACAUGAAAUUAAGAGCUUGCAUGUAUUUGCUGUUAUGCAUUGAGAUAGUUAAGAUGCAUAAUCAAUGUUAUAGUUGAUGAUUAAUAUAUUUUAUGAUGAUGGUUAUGCAUGAUAUAUUAAUUACAUGAUUAAUGAUUUUAUGAUUGAUAUUUCAUGUAAUGUUAUGAUGUUUGCUACAUACUUUGGACUAUGGUGUCUGAUAACUUGCAGAAAUAAAAGUUAUUAUAGCCUUUUAGAUAGAAUAAUGAGACCAAAAUGCAUAAGAAAUGUGUCAAAAUGUGUAGCUUUUGUUGUAAAUUAUUGGAAAGGAAUAGUCUUUCCACUGUCUGUAAAGUAUUUUGUCAUCUUUUUCGGUCAACCAAUGAGUGAAAGCUUGAGGUUUGAGUGAAGAAGAUCUCGUUCUCCAUCUCUCAUAAC